rnacentral:snRNA from 1 species
AGCUUUGCGCAGUGGCGGUACCAUAGCCAAUGAGGUUUAUUCAAGGCACAAUUAUUGUUAAUUGAAAACUUUUCCCAAUACCCUACCAUGACAACUUACAAUAUAGUCAGCAUUGGCAAUUUUGACGGUCCCUAUGGAGA